rnacentral:rRNA from 1 species
GACGAACGCUGGCGGCGUGCUUAACACAUGCAAGUCGAGCGGAGCGGCGAACGGGUGCGUAACGCGUGAGUAACUGCCCACCUCUCUGGGCUAACAGUUGGAACCGGAUGCUAAUACCGGAUAGUGGGGUAUGACUCGCGUCCUAUCAGCUUGUUGGUGGGGUAGUGGCCUACCAAGGCGACGACGGGUAGCCGGCCUGAGAGGGCGAGCGGACACAGUGGGCUGAGAGACGGCACAAACGCCAACGGGAGGAAGCAGUGGGGAAGGUUGUACAAUAGGAGAAACCGUGAUGCAGCAACGCCGCGUGGGGGAUGACGGGCUUCGGGUUGUAAACCGCUUUGAGCCAUGACGCGGUAGUGGCAGAAGAAGCACCGGCUAACUACGUGCCAGCAGCCGCGGUAAUGC